UUGCUGGCCCUACAACCUGUUUCUGCCCUGGGACAGUCAUAACCAGCCAUCUGGAUCCUUACUGAGAUAUAGCAUGACUGAGUCUGUGAAUUGUAAGAGACUUCAGUGAUCAACUACUCUAAUGUUCCCCAAAAAGUCUGCUCUAGAUUGUACAAGGAGUAAGAAGGAGGAGCCGUGACCUUCCUCAGCAUCCCUUCCCACUGCAUGCUCACCUGGAAACUGGCAUAAUUGAAAAAAAUGUAUAACAUUUGCUCCCAAAACAAAUCAAUUCAUCUUUACUUAUAUAAGAAUGGACCCAAGAGUCGAAGAGGACCUUCACUCUUCCACUACAAGUAAACUAAAGUUUCAGUUAUACAAACAUGA